AUAAAUGCGUCAAGUUUUGGAUGCGCUACAUUUUUAUACAAUAUCUUCAACUUGCUCUCAGGCCAGCGCACAGGAAAGCCAUGACUCUCGUGAGGGAGAGGAACAAGACACAUAGGAGGUGUUCUAGGGCAACUUCUCUCGGUGUGCCUAUAGCUUUGCAGCCUUCCAGUACCACUCUCAAUGUCAAUACAGGGAAUGUAAUUGUGUUUGCUUCUUGUGCUGCAU
rnacentral:misc_RNA from 1 species